rnacentral:rRNA from 1 species
GUGUCAGCCGCCGCGGUAAUACGAAGGGACCUAGCGUAGUUCGGAAUUACUGGGCUUAAAGAGCUCGUAGGUGGUUAAAAAAGUUGGUAGUGAAAUCCCAAGGCUUAACCUUGGAACUGCUACCAAAACUUUUUGACUAGAGUAUGAUAGAGGUAAGUGGAAUUUCUAGUGUAGAGGUGAAAUUCGUAGAUAUUAGAAAGAACACCAAUUGCGAAGGCAACUUUCUGGAUCAUUACUGACACUGAGGAGCGAAAGCAUGGGUAGCGAAGAGGAUUAGAUACCCUCGUAGUCCAUGCCGUAAACGAUGUGUGCUAGACGUUGGAAACUUAGUUUUCAGUGUCGCAGCAAAAGCGUUAAGCACACCGCCUGGGGAGUACGACCGCAAGGUUAAAACUCAAAUGAAUUGACGGGGACCCGCACAAGCAGUGGAGCAUGUGGUUUAAUUCGAAGAUACGCGCAGAACCUUACCAACACUUGACAUGUUCGUCGCGACUCGUAGAGAUAUGAGUCUUCGGUUCGGCCGGACGAAACACAGGUGCUGCAUGGCUGUCGUCAGCUCGUGUCGUGAGAUGUUGGGUUAAGUCCCGCAACGAGCGCAACCCUUACUUUUAGUUGCCACCAUUUAGUUGAGCACUCUAAAAGAACUGCCAGUGAUAAGCUGGAGGAAGGCGGGGAUGACGUCAAGUCCUCAUGGCCCUUACGUGUUGGGCUACACACGUGCUACAAUGGCACUUACAAUGAGAUGCAAAGAGGCGACUCCUAGCCAAUCUCAACAAGGUGCCUCAGUUCGGAUUGUACUCUGCAACUCGAGUACAUGAAGCUGGAAUUGCUAGUAAUCGCGGAUCAGCGCGCCGCGGUGAAUACGUUCCCGGGUCUUGCACACACCGCCCGUC